GCUGACCUUCCUCCAGCCCUCUGCUUCCAACUCCCUUUUUCCACCAGUCAACUCUGCAUUGCCUUCACUAUACUGUUAUGCUAACUUACAUACUGUUUGAAUUUUACUGCUAGCUAUAUAUGGAGUAUGUUUAAUGUCAGAGCCGUACAUCAUAAGAGUAAAUUAUGAGUCAGUUUUCAAUGUUAGCUUAUACUUUGUUUGUGUCACAUAUCCUGUCAUGCAUGUAUCCAAAUGUGUGUUGUGUUUUCCUUGCUUUCCCACCCCUCCCUCUUCUCCCAUCCCUCCCCCUUGCCCUCUUCUGUCCUUCUCAACCCGCCCGGCCAGCAGGCAGAUGGGUCCCCCCUAUAUAGAGCCGGGUUCUGCUCGAGGUUUCUUCCCUGUUAAAAGGGUGUUUUUCCUUGCCACUGUCGCCUUUGGGCUUGCUCUGGGGGUCAGGCAUAUGGGUUCUGUAAAGCGUCUUGAGACGAUUUGACUGUAAUUGACGCUAUAUAAAUAAAAUUGAAUUGAAUUGAA